GCCUGCUCUUGGGUCUGUUAGCACAUCAUCCCCCCGGCUCUGUUUUCACUUCUGAAAAGCUGGGACAAUGACGUCCUUGUAUCUACAGAGUCUUCAAAAGGGCCUCCACACAUUCAGAAAGGUUGAGACAACUUAAAUAAUCAUGUUGAGACUGAUUUUCAUCAUUGGAAAUUUGGAGGAGCAGUUAUUUUAGAGAGGACU
rnacentral:lncRNA from 1 species